UACGUAGGGUGCAAGCGUUGUCCGGAAUUAUUGGGCGUAAAGAGCUCGUAGGCGGUUUGUCGCGUCGAAUGUGAAAACCCGGGGCUCAACCCCGGGCCUGCAUUCGAUACGGGCAGACUAGAGUUCGGUAGGGGAGUCUGGAAUUCCUGGUGUAGCGGUGAAAUGCGUAGAUAUCUGGAGGAACACCGGUGGCGAAGGCGGCAUCCUGGACCGACACUGACGCUGAGGCGCGAAAGCUAGGGGAGCAAACAGG
rnacentral:rRNA from 1 species